UACGGGGGGAGCAAGCGUUGUUCGGAUUUACUGGGCGUAAAGGGCGCGUAGGCGGCCACCGCAAGUCACUUGUGAAAUCUCCGGGCUUAACCCGGAAAGGUCAACUGAUACUGCGGGGCUAGAGUGCAGAAGGGGCAACUGGAAUUCUCGGUGUAGCGGUGAAAUGCGUAGAUAUCGGGAGGAACACCUAUGGCGAAGGCAGCUCGCUGGGACGUUACUGACGCUGAGACGCGAAAGCGUGGGGAGCAAACAGG
rnacentral:rRNA from 1 species